rnacentral:sRNA from 1 species
AUAACAAGAAUAAAAAUCGCAGCAACAUAAUAAAAACAAUACGAAACGACUCUGACAUAACAAAAACAACACGACAGAGACGCAGCUAACAGAUUUUUUUGGAGAAGGUUUACUUUUCCGAGGAGCCAAAAGCCACCUCGCAACCGGGCAGAGAAUAAUAAAACUACCUUCAGGUAGCACCCGCACAGGUUGGAUCACAGGUUUGAUAGCCGGUGAUGAAAGUGGAUCAGCGCUCAAAAAAAUACGUUUGCUCUUGAUCCUGCAUGGGGAUCGCACAAAACAGCAACAAAGGGCCACGGUUCCAAAAACAACAAUAGACCGCCCCUCAAUAAUAAAAAAAGAGCACGCAACGACAUAUUAAAGGGGAGCCUCGGCUCCCCUUUGUGUUGUCUGUAAUCCCCGUUUUUCUGCAGGA